rnacentral:rRNA from 1 species
UAGGGAAUCUUCCACAAUGGGCGCAAGCCUGAUGGAGCAACACCGCGUGAGUGAAGAAGGGUUUCGGCUCGUAAAGCUCUGUUGUUAAAGAAGAACACGUAUGAGAGUAACUGUUCAUACGUUGACGGUAUUUAACCAGAAAGUCACGGCUAACUACGUGCCAGCAGCCGCGGUAAUACGUAGGUGGCAAGCGUUAUCCGGAUUUAUUGGGCGUAAAGAGAGUGCAGGCGGUUUUCUAAGUCUGAUGUGAAAGCCUUCGGCUUNACCGGAAAAAAGUGCCUCGGAAACUGGAUAACUUGAGUGCAGAAGAGGGUAGUGGAACUCCAUGUGUAGCGGUGGAAUGCGUAAAUAUAUGGAAGAACACCAAUGGCGAAAGCGGCUACCUGGUCUGCAACUGACGCUGAGACUCGAAAGCAUGGGUAGCGAACAGGAUUAGAUACCCUGGUAGUCCAUGCCGUAAACGAUGAGUGCUAGGUGUUGGAGGGUUUCCGCCCUUCAGUGCCGGAGCUAACGCAUUAAGCACUCCGCCUGGGGAGUACGACCGCAAGGUUG